GAGGGUAUAGCUCAGUGGUAGAUCAUGUGCUUAACAUGCAUGAGGUCCUGGGUUCAAUCCCCAGUACCUCCA
rnacentral:tRNA from 1 species